UUCUUUCUUCUUCCGGUCUCCUUUGUGAUAAGUUUCCUGCCACGUUUUACGGAAGUGUAUCCAUUAAUUCGACCAAUCAAAAGAGCAUUAUUGUUAUUAAUAAAACUUCAUACGCGUUAUCGUGUAAUUAUCUUUCUGGUAGUAGUGUUGUGGAUGCAUGAAUCAAGGAUAUUCCUUUGUCCUGCGGAGUUCAUAAUUUAAAAGGAUGCUUUACAUUAAAACUCGAGAAGUUUGAUAUAUUUUCAUGGAUUUCUAACAUAUUUGCAGAAAAUUUGCCAUAAGCAAUUAAAAUCAUACAAUGGUCUCUUUUAACGAUAAUAUCAUUACUUGUAUGAUCAAUCAAUUGAAAUAUUUUAUUUUAUUAUAUUGAUGAAUAUUAUUGAGAAUGGACAUUAAAUCUAAUUCGUUGCUUUAUUUAAGCAACGACGUCUUGCUUAUUAUUUACAAAUGUUAAAAUGGAUUAAAUUUAUUUAAUGCAUCACAGAUUUGCAGAUAUUGGUUGAAAAUAGUCAAUAAAACAAAGAAAAAAAAAAAAGAACAAGGGAGCCAUCAUGUAUUACAAAAAGCAAAAGAGAAAAUAACACCCUCUAAAUUGGGACGACGUAAAAAAAAAGGAAUCAUAGAAUAUUUGACAUUUAAUUCUAGUUUAAAUGUUUCUUUUUUUAUUGCUUGGAAACAAUGAUUCAUUUUUACAAAGGUUCUUUUGUAUAGAAUGAAAUUGUAAAAAAUUUAUUGAUUUGUAAUUCUGUUGAUGAUGCAUGUGUAUAUAAAAAUGGCACGGAUUACAUUGCUAUUACAACAAGGGAUACAGAAAAGCAUAUCAAGUCUGUACUUUUGGAUAUAGACUUAUGGUAUUAAAGAAAGGAUUGAAGAUAAGUUGAGAGCCUUUAAAGAUAUUGUACAGUCAAAGAAACAUUUCAUAGGUUUCAUAUUCGCUUGUUGUUCAUGUGAAAGAAGUAACAAAGAAUCAACUAUAUUUAAAAGAUUUUUUCCAAGAGUACCAUUAAUUCAAUCUUUUGGUAAUGGAUCUGCACCAUUUACAAUACUCAAAUACGAGUUCUCUUGAGAAGCUGUACAUCGCCGGAGACGUUGCACUCAUUCUUGGAUAUAAUGCUGUAAUCUCAUCAUUGGAGCUGCUUGCAGUUGAUUCAGUUGACAAUUUUUUGGAUGCUUUUUACAAUUCUAAAACGAGAUUUCUUGGGAUGACUUUUGGUUUUUAUGAAAAGAAAAAAGUCGCAUAAAUUCAAAUCAAAGAAAUAUGGAGGCUGUAGAAUCAUAGGAAUAUUUUUCUUGGCCAAUAACUCAUUUACAAGAGAAAUCUUUUAAAAUCAAUUUGACGAUUUAAAUUUAAUUCAUUAGAAUCAAUCUAAUUAUCAAACGACGAUUAGAUCUUUAUUCGAGUCUUUAUUUAUUUUUGCGACAAUUUUCUCACUUUUUGAAGUAUAACAUCUUCCAGAACGAAUCUUCAUCGUUUACAAUCUCAUUGGCAUCUAGAAAUGCGUUGUGUUACCUAAAAACUUACGUUCUGGACGAAGCUUAAUGUCCGUAAGUCAAUUUCGUUAUUAAACGUUGCGUUGUUUUUAAGUUUAACGCAAAAUUUAAUUUAUAAGUAAGUAUAAUGCAUAAAUCGAUAUGUCGUUACUCCAUUUACGUAACAUGCCAACCCAAACGCACUUUUAUAAAAUUCACUGCGAAAUCGCUCCUGUUAGUCCAACCAAAUUGAUACUGAAAGUAGAGAUAUUUGUGUCAGAUAACAUAGCCUUAUAAAUACUGUAACCAAUCUCUACAAUGAAAAAUUUUUUUGAGAAAUUGUCUUUUACGUUAGCUUCUGUACGUAAAAUGAUCAUAUGAAACAUUACUAGAUAUUGGUAAAUUAAAUUUUUUUUUUACUUUUUAAUAUGAACAAUUUAUAUAAUCACUAUAAAUUUCUCUUUCGAAUACUCCACUAUCAAAACAUUCGACUAAAGGCACUCUUGAAACAUAUUUUUUAAAUAUAAAUUUUUAAAUCUACGUUAAACUGUCCCUAUUACAAGUAACAAAUAUGAAACUUAUUGAGUGUUUUUUCAACUUUACAUUGUCUUUAAUUUAUCUUCGAUUCUUAAUUUUUCUUUAUUAUUACAGUCUAUAUGCAAAGAUACAGAUCAGAUUUGCAUUUCUAUACUACUUAUUGUAAUAGUAGUGCAAUUUUUACAUAUACAUGCAUUAUUUACAGAAAUACAAAUCUAUAAUUUUUUAAAACUUCACCCCGUACAAAAGUUCUUGCAUUUGGAAGUCUAUGUAAAAAGACAAAUUCUAGAUAUUUACAAAUACAAAUGUACAUAAAGUGCAUACUUAUAAUAUUUCAAUUGAUCGAUCAAACAAAUAUUGUAAACAAUGUUAUGUCAAAAGAGGCCUGUAUAUGAUAUUAGUUGCUUAUCGGAAAAUAACAAAUUUUCUGUAAAUAUGUCAUAAAUCCAUGAAAAUAAAUUAAACUUCUCGAGUUUUAAUAAAAAA